rnacentral:rRNA from 1 species
GACGAACGCUGGCGGCGUGCUUAACACAUGCAAGUCGAACGGAAAGGCCCUGCUUUUGUGGGUUGCUCGAGUGGCGAACGGGUGAGUAACACGUGAGUAACCUGCCCUUGACUUUGGGAUAACUUCAGGAAACUGGGGCUAAUACCGGAUAGGAGCUCCUGCUGCAUGGUGGGGGUUGGAAAGUUUCGGCGGUUGGGGCUGGACUCGCGGCUUAUCAGCUUGUUUGUGGGGUAGUGGCUUACCAAGGCUUUGACGGGUAGCCGGCCUGAGAGGGUGACCGGCCACAUUGGGACUGAGAGACGGCCCAGACUCCUACGGGAGGCAGCAGUGGGGAAUAUUGCACAAUGGGCGGAAGCCUGAUGCAGCAACGCCGCGUGCGGGAUGACGGCCUUCGGGUGGUAAACCGCUUUCGCCUGUGACGAAGCGUGAGUGACGGUAAUGGGUAAAGAAGCACCGGCUAACUACGUG